rnacentral:rRNA from 1 species
GACGUAGGGCGCGAGCGUUUGUCCGGAUUUAUUGGGCGUAAAGAGCUCGUAGGCGGUUUGUCGCGUCGGGAGUGAAAAACACCGGGCUUAACUCGGUGCUUGCUUUCGAUACGGGCAGACUAGAGGCAUGCAGGGGAGAACGGAAUUCCUGGUGUAGCGGUGAAAUGCGCAGAUAUCAGGAGGAACACCGGUGGCGAAGGCGGUUCUCUGGGCAUGUCCUGACGCUGAGGAGCGAAAGUGUGGGGAGCGAACAGG